rnacentral:rRNA from 1 species
AGAGUUUGAUCCUGGCUCAGGAUGAACGCUGGCGGCGUGCCUAACACAUGCAAGUCGAACGGAGUUAUGAUGUGAGCGGGAAGUGCUUGCACUAAACAAUCUUUUCAUAACUUAGUGGCGGACGGGUGAGUAACGCGUGGGUAACCUGCCCUGUACUGGGGGACAACAGUUGGAAACGACUGCUAAUACCGCAUAAGCGCACGGGAUCGCAUGAUCCUGUGUGAAAAACUCCGGUGGUACAGGAUGGACCCGCGUCUGAUUAGCUGGUUGGUGAGGUAACGGCCCACCAAGGCAACGAUCAGUAGCCGGCCUGAGAGGGUGAACGGCCACAUUGGGACUGAGACACGGCCCAAACUCCUACGGGAGGCAGCAGUGGGGAAUAUUGCACAAUGGGGGAAACCCUGAUGCAGCGACGCCGCGUGAGUGAAGAAGUAUUUCGGUAUGUAAAGCUCUAUCAGCAGGGAAGAAAAUGACGGUACCUGACUAAGAAGCCCCGGCUAACUACGUGCCAGCAGCCGCGGUAAUACGUAGGGGGCAAGCGUUAUCCGGAUUUACUGGGUGUAAAGGGAGCGUAGACGGCAUGGCAAGUCUGAAGUGAAAUGCGGGGGCUCAACCCCUGAACUGCUUUGGAAACUGUCAGGCUGGAGUGCAGGAGAGGUAAGUGGAAUUCCUAGUGUAGCGGUGAAAUGCGUAGAUAUUAGGAGGAACACCAGUGGCGAAGGCGGCUUACUGGACUGUAACUGACGUUGAGGCUCGAAAGCGUGGGGAGCAAACAGGAUUAGAUACCCUGGUAGUCCACGCCGUAAACGAUGAUUACUAGGUGUUGGGGAUUUGUAAAUCCCCGGUGCCGUCGCAAACGCAAUAAGUAAUCCACCUGGGGAGUACGUUCGCAAGAAUGAAACUCAAAGGAAUUGACGGGGGCCCGCACAAGCGGAGGAACAUGUGGUUUAAUUCGAUGAUACGCGAGGAACCUUACCCGGGCUUGAAUUGCAGAGGAAGGAUUUGGAGACAAUGACGCCCUUCGGGGCCUCUGUGAAGGUGCUGCAUGGUUGUCGUCAGCUCGUGCCGUGAGGUGUCGGCUUAAGUGCCAUAACGAGCGCAACCCCUCUCCUUAGUUGCCAUCAGGUUAAGCUGGGCACUCUGGGGACACUGCCACCGUAAGGUGUGAGGAAGGUGGGGAUGACGUCAAAUCAGCACGGCCCUUACGUCCGGGGCUACACACGUGUUACAAUGGCAGGUACAGAGAGACGGUCCCUUGCAAAACGGAUCAAAUCCUUAAAGCCUGUCUCAGUUCGGACUGGGGUCUGCAACCCGACCCCACGAAGCUGGAUUCGCUAGUAAUCGCGCAUCAGCCAUGGCGCGGUGAAUACGUUCCCGGGCCUUGUACACGCCGCCCGUCAAGCCAUGAAAGCCGGGGGCGCCUAAAGUCCGUGACCGUAAGGAGCGGCCUAGGGCGAAACUGGUAAUUGGGGCUAAGUCGUAACAAGGUA